rnacentral:rRNA from 1 species
AACAGGUGUAGCAAUACAUGCUGACGAGCGGCGAACGGGUGAGUAAUGCUUUGGAAUCUUCCCAGUAGUGGGGAAUAACCAGUCGAAAGAUUGGCUAAUACCGCAUACGUCUGUAAAGGGAAAGCGGGGGCUCGUAAGACCUCGCGCUAUUGGAUGAGCCAAAGUCGGAUUAGCUUGUUGGUGGGGUAAUGGCCUACCAAGGCGACAAUCCGUAGCUGGUCUGAGAGGACGACCAGCCACACCGGAACUGAGACACGGUCCGGACUCCUACGGGAGGCAGCAGUGGGGAAUAUUGGACAAUGGGGGAAACCCUGAUCCAGCGACGCCGCGUGUGUGAAGAAGGCCUGCGGGUUGUAAAGCACUUUUAGUGGGGACAAAAAGCUACGGAUUAAUACUCUGUGGUCUUGAUUUAACCCAAAGAAAAAGCACCGGCUAACUC